rnacentral:misc_RNA from 1 species
GUAACAAGGUCUCCGUUGGUGAACCAGCGGAGGGAUCAUUACAGAGUUACUACUCCAAAACCCAUUGUGAACCUUACCUAUGUUCUGUUGCCUCGGCGGCGUGGUCAGCGCCCCCUCUGAAAAGAGGACGAUGCCCUCCCGCCGGCAGCACCAAACUCUUGAAUUUUACAGCGGAUUACAGUUCUGAUUUGAAAAGAAAAAACAAGUUAAAACUUUCAACAACGGAUCUCUUGGUUCUGGCAUCGAUGAAGAACGCAGCGAAAUGCGAUAAGUAAUGUGAAUUGCAGAAUUCAGUGAAUCAUCGAAUCUUUGAACGCACAUUGCGCCCGGCAGUAAUCUGCCGGGCAUGCCUGUCCGAGCGUCAUUUCAACCCUCGAACCUCCGUUUCCUCAGGGAAGCUCAGGGUCGGUGUUGGGGCGCUACGGCGAGUCUUCGCGACCCUCCGUAGGCCCUGAAAUACAGUGGCGGUCCCGCCGCGGUUGCCUUCUGCGUAGUAAGUCUCUUUUGCAAGCUCGCAUUGGGUCCCGGCGGAGGCCUGCCGUCAAACCACCUAUAACUCCAGAUGGUUUGACCUCGGAUCAGGUAGGGUUACCCGCUGAACUUAAGCAUAUCAAUAAGCGGAGGAAAAGAAACCAACAGGGAUUGCCUCAGUAACGGCGAGUGAAGCGGC